rnacentral:rRNA from 1 species
UUUAUGGAGAGUUUGAUCCUGGCUCAGGAUGAACGCUGGCGGCGUGCCUAAUACAUGCAAGUCGAGCGAACGGACGAGAAGCUUGCUUCUCUGAUGUUAGCGGCGGACGGGUGAGUAACACGUGGAUAACCUACCUAUAAGACUGGGAUAACUUCGGGAAACCGGAGCUAAUA